CCUACGGGAGGCAGCAGUGGGGAAUAUUGCACAAUGGGGGAAACCCUGAUGCAGCGACGCCGCGUGAGCGAUGAAGUAUUUCGGUACGUAAAGCUCUAUCAGCAGGGAAGAAAAUGCCGGUACCUGACUAUGCAGCUCCGGCUAACUACGUGCCAGCAGCCGCGGUCAUACGUAGGGGGCAAGCGUGAUCUGGUUUUACUGGGUGUAAAGGUAGCGUAGACGGUGGUGCAAGCCAGAUGUGAAAGCCCGGGGCUCAACCCGGGGACGGCAUUUGAAACUGUGCUGCUAGAGUGUCGGAGAGGCAGGCGGAAUUCCAAGUGUAGCGGUGAAAUGCGUAGAUAUAAGGAGGAACACCAGUGGCGAAGGCGACCUGCUGGACGGUGACUGACGUUGAGGCUCGAAAGCGUGGGGAGCAAACAGGAUUAGAUACCCGAGUAGUC
rnacentral:rRNA from 1 species